ACACGCCGUGAAGGAUUCGAACCCCCGUCUUCCGGGUUGGAGCCGGAAAUGAUAGCCACUACACCAACAGCGCA
rnacentral:tRNA from 1 species